CGAGUCGUAAGUAAACGUACUGACAUGUUUCACGACAUUAUACGACACGACAGUGGUUGUACGUCUAGUUACUUCGUUAUUCCACGAAUGUUUUAGCGUUACUAUUUGUUGUAACUCCAGCUACUUGCCUAUGCUGCGAAUCUUUUAGUGUAACGGUUUGGUGUAAAUAUAAUCACGUAGUUUUUUCCAAGCAAGCGUGCAUAUCUUUGUGUGGAAGUAAAAAACCCAAGGAUUAUACGUAUGCUCAACUUCGACAAAAUCGAAGAUGGUUUACACAGAAGCAGAUCCUACCUACCUACCUACCUGACGACCUACUUGACAUUCCACUAAUACUGCAACCCAAUCCAGUACAACCCAGUGGAAGAAUGACCAGAAAUGCAAAAAUAUUUCAAGAAACUAUGGGAUAUCUUCUCGUCGUAGUCAACAUGAGACACAUUCUCUUGAAGGUUCUACCGAAAAGCAAAGAGGGGGUGAUCGGAAAGGAGCAAAAUGUUCAAGAAAACACUUAAUGACUAACUGUAAUAACUGAAAAUGAAGGUUUUUCUAAUAAAGGCAAGUGCCAUACCGUAUUAAUAUAUUUUGUGAUUAUGCAUGUAUUAAUUAAUAAACGUUUUAAAAUUAAAA